UACAGAGGUCUCAAGCGUUGUUCGGAUUCAUUGGGCGUAAAGGGUGCGUAGGUGGCUUGGUAAGUUGAAGGUGAAAUCUCGGGGCUUAACUCCGAAACUGCCUUCAAUACUGCUGAGCUCGAGGACUGUAGAGGAGAAUGGAAUUCACGGUGUAGCAGUGAAAUGCGUAGAUAUCGUGAGGAAGACCAGUGGCGAAGGCGAUUCUCUGGGCAGUUCCUGACACUGAGGCACGAAGGCUAGGGGAGCAAACGGG
rnacentral:rRNA from 1 species